rnacentral:hammerhead_ribozyme from 1 species
GUACUACCGAAGAGUCCCACGAUAGGACGAAACUGUCGUCCAGUAC